rnacentral:tRNA from 1 species
GGCCUGGUGGUCUAGUGGUAUGAUUCCUUCUUAGGGCUGUACAAUUCAGUGUGGAGGAGGCCCCGGGUUCGACUCCCGGCCAAGCCC